rnacentral:rRNA from 1 species
AUUGAACGCUGGCGGCAUGCCUUACACAUGCAAGUCGAACGGCAGCACGGGGGCAACCCUGGUGGCGAGUGGCGAACGGGUGAGUAAUAUAUCGGAACGUACCCUAGAGUGGGGGAUAACGUAGCGAAAGUUACGCUAAUACCGCAUACGAUCUACGGAUGAAAGCAGGGGAUCGCAAGACCUUGCGCUCAUGGAGCGGCCGAUAUCUGAUUAGCUAGUUGGUAGGGUAAAAGCCUACCAAGGCAUCGAUCAGUAGCUGGUCUGAGAGGACGACCAGCCACACUGGGACUGAGACACGGCCCAGACUCCUACGGGAGGCAGCAGUGGGGAAUUUUUGGACAAUGGGGGCAACCCUGAUCCAGCAAUGCCGCGUGAGUGAAGAAGGCCUUCGGGUUGUAAAGCUCUUUUGUC